rnacentral:lncRNA from 10 species
GUUUUGUUUGUAGAUUUGGGAUGUGGAGGGGGACUGGGCUACAACACCCACCCAAGAGUGUCAGAAUCUGACAUCCCCUGAGAGACCACCCAAGCCCAACCGUCCACUGUAUAGAUGAGGAAACUGGAACUUCUAGAGGGGACGAGAAGAAUGAAUUAGCCUAACUUAGUGCUCCAUCCAUGUGACUGGGGCAGGGGAGGGGUCACUUUUGUCUUCCUGAGGGAGACAAGAGAUCUCUCCUUUCAUGAGAGACUUGGGCUUGAGGCUGGGUUGGAGAGGAAAGUCUAAAAUGUGGGGGCCCAAUUCACCCACCCCCAAACUCCCUCCUCAUGGUCUGGUGGGAUUUGCUUUGCAGAGCAUGGAAGACAGCACUGCUGGAGGCAAACUCCACCCCGGUGCGCGUCUACAGCCCGUACCAAGACUACUACGAGGUGGUGCCCCCCAAUGCACACGAGGCCACGUAUGUCCGCAGCUACUACGGACCGCCCUACGCAGGUAAGUCUCCAGCGUGCCCCGGGGCUUGCCUCGAUCCAGCACCGAUUCAGCGCCAGGCCCAGCCCACGGUCCG